rnacentral:rRNA from 1 species
CGAAUGCUGACAUAAGUAACGAUAAAGCGGGUGAAAAGCCCGCUCGCCGGAAGACCAAGGGUUCCUGUCCAACGUUAAUCGGGGCAGGGUGAGUCGACCCCUAAGGCGAGGCCGAAAGGCGUAGUCGAUGGGAAACAGGUUAAUAUUCCUGUACUUGGUGUUACUGCGAAGGGGGGACGGAGAAGGCUAUGUUGGCCGGGCGACGGUUGUCCCGGUUUAAGCGUGUAGGCUGGUUUUCCAGGCAAAUCCGGAAAAUCAAGGCUGAGGCGUGAUGACGAGGCACUACGGUGCUGAAGCAACAAAUGCCCUGCUUCCAGGAAAAGCCUCUAAGCAUCAGGUAACAUCAAAUCGUACCCCAAACCGACACAGGUGGUCAGGUAGAGAAUACCAAGGCGCUUGAGAGAACUCGGGUGAAGGAACUAGGCAAAAUGGUGCCGUAACUUCGGGAGAAGGCACGCUGAUAUGUAGGUGAAGUCCCUCGCGGAUGGAGCUGAAAUCAGUCGAAGAUACCAGCUGGCUGCAACUGUUUAUUAAAAACACAGCACUGUGCAAACACGAAAGUGGACGUAUACGGUGUGACGCCUGCCCGGUGCCGGAAGGUUAAUUGAUGGGGUUAGCGCAAGCGAAGCUCUUGAUCGAAGCCCCGGUAAACGGCGGCCGUAACUAUAACGGUCCUAAGGUAGCGAAAUUCCUUGUCGGGUAAGUUCCGACCUGCACGAAUGGCGUAAUGAUGGCCAGGCUGUCUCCACCCGAGACUCAGUGAAAUUGAACUCGCUGUGAAGAUGCAGUGUACCCGCGGCAAGACGGAAAGACCCCGUGAACCUUUACUAUAGCUUGACACUGAACAUUGAGCCUUGAUGUGUAGGAUAGGUGGGAGGCUUAGAAGUGUGGACGCCAGUCUGCAUGGAGCCGACCUUGAAAUACCACCCUUUAAUGUUUGAUGUUCUAACGUUGACCCGUAAUCCGGGUUGCGGACAGUGUCUGGUGGGUAGUUUGACUGGGGCGGUCUCCUCCUAAAGAGUAACGGAGGAGCACGAAGGUUGGCUAAUCCUGGUCGGACAUCAGGAGGUUAGUGCAAUGGCAUAAGCCAGCUUGACUGCGAGCGUGACGGCGCGAGCAGGUGCGAAAGCAGGUCAUAGUGAUCCGGUGGUUCUGAAUGGAAGGGCCAUCGCUCAACGGAUAAAAGGUACUCCGGGGAUAACAGGCUGAUACCGCCCAAGAGUUCAUAUCGACGGCGGUGUUUGGCACCUCGAUGUCGGCUCAUCACAUCCUGGGGCUGAAGUAGGUCCCAAGGGUAUGGCUGUUCGCCAUUUAAAGUGGUACGCGAGCUGGGUUUAGAACGUCGUGAGACAGUUCGGUCCCUAUCUGCCGUGGGCGCUGGAGAACUGAGGGGGGCUGCUCCUAGUACGAGAGGACCGGAGUGGACGCAUCACUGGUGUUCGGGUUGUCAUGCCAAUGGCACUGCCCGGUAGCUAAAUGCGGAAGAGAUAAGUGCUGAAAGCAUCUAAGCACGAAACUUGCC